rnacentral:rRNA from 1 species
GACGAACGCUGGCGGCGUGCUUAACACAUGCAAGUCGAACGGGGAUAUUUAAGAGAGGCGCCUUCGGGUGUCAGGAAUAGAUAUUCUAGUGGCGAACGGGUGGGUAACGCGUGAGCGACCUAUCUUUUGCAGGGGGAUAACAACAGGAAACUGUUGCUAAUACCGCGUAAGGCCGUAUUGGUACAUGCCAGUACGGGGAGAGAAGAAAUUCGGCGAAAGAGGGGCUCGCGUCCCAUUAGAUAGUAGGCGGGGUAACGGCCCACCUAGUCUGCGAUGGGUAGCCGACCUGAGAGGGUGAUCGGCCACACUGGAACUGAGACACGGUCCAGACUCCUACGGGAGGCAGCAGUGGGGAAUAUUGGGCAAUGGGCGAAAGCCUUACCCAGCAACGCCGCGUGAGAGAAGAAGGUUUUCGGAUUGUAAAUCUCUGUCCUUGGGGAAGAAAAGAAUGACGGUACCCAAGGAGGAAGCCCCGGCUAACUACGUGCCAGCCGCCGCUGUAACAC